GCCCCAGUAACGGCGAGUGAAGCGGCAAGAGCUCAAAUUUUAAAUCUGGGGUCUCCGGCCCCCGAGUUGUAAUUUGGAGAGGCAUCUUCGGGAGGAGCGCUGGCCAAUGUUCCUUGGAACAGGACGUCGCAGAGGGUGAGAAUCCCGUGCCAGGCCAGCCGCGCCCUUCCACGUGAAGCGCCUUCGACGAGUCGAGUUGUUUGGGAAUGCAGCUCCAAGUGGGUGGUAAAUUUCAUCUAAAGCUAAAUACCGGCGAGAGACCGAUAGCGCACAAGUAGAGUGAUCGAAAGAUGAAAAGCACUUUGAAAAUAGAGUCAAAAAGUACGUGAAAUUGUUGAAAGGGAAGCGCUUGAGACCAGACUCGGAGCGAGGCAAACAUCUGGCCCCGCGGGGCCGUGCACUUGCCUCGGGCCGGGCCAGCAUCAGUUGGUGCGGCGGGAGAAAGGCGCGGGGAAUGUGGCUCCCCUCGGGGAGUGUUAUUAGCCCCGUGCUCAAUGCCGCCCGCACCGACUGAGGACCGCGCUUCGGCUAGGAUGCUGGCUUAAUGGCCUUCAGCGACCCGUCUUGAAACACGGACCAAGGAGUCUAACAUCUAUGCGAGUGUUUGGGUGCCAAACCCUUUCGCGGAAUGAAAGUGAACGGAGGUGGGAACCCCUCGCCGGGCGCACCAUCGACCGAUCCUGAUGUCUUCGGAUGGAUUUGAGUAGGAGCAUAGCUGUUGGGACCCGAAAGAUGGUGAACUAUGCCUGAAUAGGGUGAAGCCAGAGGAAACUCUGGUGGAGGCUCGCAGCGGUUCUGACGUGCAAAUCGAUCGUCAAAUUUGGGUAUAGGGGCGAAAG
rnacentral:rRNA from 1 species